rnacentral:rRNA from 1 species
UGGGGAAUAUUGCACAAUGGGCGAAAGCCUGAUGCAGCGACGCCGCGUGAGGGAUGACGGCCUUCGGGUUGUAAACCUCUUUCAGUAGGGACGAAGCGCAAGUGACGGUACCUGCAGAAGAAGCACCGGCUAACUACGUGCCAGCAGCCGCGGUAAUACGUAGGGUGCGAGCGUUCUCCGGAAUUACUGGGCGUAAAGAGCUCGUAGGCGGUUUGUCACGUCGUCUGUGAAAUCCUAGGGCUUAACCCUGGACGUGCAGGCGAUACGGGCUGACUUGAGUACUACAGGGGAGACUAGACUUUCUGGUGUAGCGGUGGAAUGCACAGAUGUCAGGAAGAACACCGAUGGCGAAGGCAGGUCUCUGGGUAGUAACUGACGCUGAGGAGCGAAAGCAUGGGUAGCGAACAGG